GUACACGCUGUGACUAGCAUAUCAAUAAGCGGAGGAAAAGAAACUAACAAGGAUUCCCCUAGUAACGGCGAGUGAAGCGGGAAGAGCUCAAAUUUGAAAUCUUAAAGGGUUUCCCUUUACGAAUUGUAGUUUAAAGAAGUGUUUUCUGUUGAGGUUUUGGUAAAAGUUCUUUGGAAUAGGACAUCAUAGAGGGCGAGAAUCCCGUAUUUGACCUUUACUUUCAACUUUGUGAUACACUUUCAAAGAGUCGGAUUGUUUGGGAAUGCAGUCCAAAAUGGGUGGUAAAUUUCAUCUAAAGCUAAAUAUUGGCGAGAGACCGAUAGCGAACAAGUACCGUGAGGGAAAGAUGAAAAGAACUUUGAAAAGAGAGUUAAACAGUACGUGAAAUUGUCAAAAGGGAAGCGUUUGACACCAGUGUUGUUUUUCUGAAAAUCAAUUAAAGAACUGUUUAUGCUAAGCUGUUUAGACUUUAUCAGCUAUCUGUUUAGUUUUGAGCUUUUCUUUAAUGCACUUUUCAGUUAACAAGUCAACAUCAAUUUCUUUUGCUGUAAAAAAGCUUGAGGAAGGUGGCUUGAGAUUCGUCUUAAGUGUUUAUAGCCUCUUGCCUAUGCAGUCGGAGAGAUUGAGGUCUGCAGCGUAGAUCCUUCGGGGCUAAAUGCAUUUGUGCUAAGUUAUAGCAUUUCAUAGACAACUUGUUGACUAUGAUUUGUCUUGUAGCUUACUCGCUUAUGUUAUUUUACCUACGCUUAGGAUGUUGACUGAUAUGUAGUCGUA
rnacentral:rRNA from 1 species